AGUGGCGGACGGGUGAGUAACGCGUGAGAAUCUGCCUUGGGGUCGGGGACAACCACUGGAAACGGUGGCUAAUACCGGAUAAGCCGAUUGGUGAAAGAUUUAUUGCCCGAAGAGGAGCUCGCGUCUGAUUAGCUAGUUGGUGAGGUAAGAGCUCACCAAGGCAGCGAUCAGUAGCUGGUCUGAGAGGACGAUCAGCCACACUGGGACUGAGACACGGCCCAGACUCCUACGGGAGGCAGCAGUGGGGAAUUUUCCGCAAUGGCGAAAGCCUGACGGAGCAAGACCGCGUGAGGGAGGAAGGCUCUUGGGUUGUAAACCUCUUUUCUCAGGGAAGAAGCUCUGACGGUACCUGAGGAAUCAGCCUCGGCUAACUCCGUGCCAGCAGCCGCGGUAAUACGGAGGAGGCAAGCGUUAUCCGGAAUUAUUGGGCGUAAAGCGUCCGCAGGUGGCGAUUCAAGUCUGCUGUCAAAGCACGGGGCUUAACUCCGUAAAGGCAGUGGAAACUGAAUAGCUAGAGUGCCGUAGGGGUAGAGGGAAUUCCCGGUGUAGCGGUGAAAUGCGUAGAGAUCGGGAAGAACAUCGGUGGCGAAAGCGCUCUACUGGACGGCAACUGACACUCAGGGACGAAAGCUAGGGGAGCGAAUGGGAUUAGAUACCCC
rnacentral:rRNA from 1 species